UGACUAGAUCUCGCUAGGUUGACCUUCUUUCAUAGAAAUAGAGAGAGACACGCACAGAGACAGACAGACAGAGAGAGAGAGGGUGAAGUAUUAUAACGUCGGGAAGAAAUAUCCAAAAAAUAAUGGCUAACAACCAGAUAUCUCUGACCACUGCAUCGAAUGCCAUAGACAUGGCUUUGCAAAAAGAUGAAGUAGAAGAAUUCUCGCUAUCGUCUUCUAAGGAAAUGGAAGGAGCAGGAAAAUUUUCAGCAGGACUAUUGGGUUCUGGUGAGGCACUGUUCAAAUAUAAAGAGUCGAUAACUUUCACUGUUAAAAAGAAAGGCUCGAACCCAAAAUAUAUCCACCAGUGAAAAUAUCUUCAUAUAAUGCAUGAAAAAUUUUCCAGUGUUCUUUAUUUGAAGAUAUACAACGUUUCUUUUCCUCAAGCUUUUUUUACCUUAUCCUAUAAACACGAUUUUAUAACUCAAGAUUUAUCUUGAAAUUAUUACAUCUGUCACUUAGGUGCCAAAUAUUCAAUUAUAUAAAGCAAUAGUCUUUAACCAUUUUCUACAUAUAAACCUCUUUGAUUACUGUUCUUUCCAGCUGAACCUCCAUGGCCAUUCGAUGUUUGGAAAUUAGUUUUACAGACACUUGUUUCAGAAUUCCUAUUUUGUUUGUCACACAUUAACUUGUGUUAAGUUGAACUAUGUAAAACGUCAGAGGAAGAAACCUGUUUCUUACAAUAAAUAUAUCUAAAGUAACAUCUUUUCGUGGUCCCUUAAAAUGCUAUUGUGGGUCCUCAAUUUACUAUUUUCUUGUUGGACACCCAAAAGUACGGAAUCCCAACGGUCAUAUGGACUUCGGUUGAGAACCAAUGAUAUCCAGGUUGAAUAUGAAUAGUAAAAAAUAAACAUAUUAACAUAAAA